rnacentral:rRNA from 1 species
UGGAGUAACGCCGCGUGGAGGAUGACGGCCUUCGGGUUGUAAACUCCUUUUCCGAGGGAAGAGUAGAAGACGGUACCUCGGGAAGAAGCCUCGGCUAACUACGUGC